UAGGCGUAAACGAUACUCGCUAGGUGUCGGCCACGGUGCGACCGUUGUCGGUGCCGUAGGGAAGCCGUGAAGCGAGCCACCUGGGAAGUACGGCCGCAAGGCUGAAACUUAAAGGAAUUGGCGGGGGAGCACCGCAACGGGAGGAGCGUGCGGUUUAAUUGGAUUCAACACCGGAAAACUCACCAGUGAAGACUGUUACAUGAAAGCCAGGCUGAUGACCUUGCUAGAUUUUCAGAGAGGAGGUGCAUGGCGUAGACGUCU
rnacentral:rRNA from 1 species